UACGGAGGGGGCUAGCGUUGUUCGGAAUUACUGGGCGUAAAGCGCACGUAGGCGGCUUUGUAAGUUAGAGGUGAAAGCCCAGGGCUUAACCCUGGAAUUGCCUUUAAGACUGCAUCGCUAGAAUCGUGGAGAGGUGAGUGGAAUUCCGAGUGUAGAGGUGAAAUUCGUAGAUAUUCGGAAGAACACCAGUGGCGAAGGCGGCUCACUGGUCCGGUACUGACGCUGAGGUGCGAAAGCGUGGGGAGCAAACAGG
rnacentral:rRNA from 1 species